rnacentral:rRNA from 1 species
AUGGAAGGUGAAAUUGAUGAAAGUGUGAGCUCAUUGUAUGAAAAAGAUGAUGAGGAGAGCGAAGAACAAAAGGAGGAAGAGCGGAUUAGGUACAUGUUCCCACCUUCUAAUGAGAGUAACUCUUCAACUUAUACAUUGUUUAAUAUCCCUUCGUGCUUACCGAAGGAUGAAUUCUAUGAUAAUUGCUAUGAUCCCGUUGAUUCGUUUCAAACAUACCUUUUUGAUGAAAUUGAUGCUUGCCAUGCUUGUUGCCAUGAUGUCAAUAUGAAUUAUGCUUAUGGAGAUGAACUUGCUAUAGUUCCUUAUGUUAAGAAUGAAAUUGUUGCUAUUGCACCCACACAUGAUAGUCCUAUUAUCUUUUUGAAUUCUCCCAACUACACUAUAUCGGAGAAGUUUGCUCUUAUGAAGGAUUAUAUUGAUGGGCUAUGUUUUACUAUUACACAUGAUGAUUUUGAUGAAUAUAAUAUGCAUGUGCUUUCUGCUCCUACUUGCAAUUAUUAUGAGAGAGGAACUACAUCUCAACCUCUCUAUGUUUCGUACAUGAUAAAAUUGCAAGAAACUGUUUAUGCUAUACUUUGUUGUUACAUGAUAUAUGUUUCUUUGUGCUCACUACUAAAUUCCAAAUCAUUGUUAAUAAAAAAUUGGCUUUGA